CAGUAGCCGCGGUAAUACGUAGGGUGUGAGCGUUAAUCGGAAUUACUGGGCGUAAAGCGUGCGCAGGCGGUUCGUUAAGACAGAUGUGAAAUCCCCGGGCUUAACCUGGGAACUGCAUUUGUGACUGGCGAGCUAGAGUAUGGCAGAGGGGGGUAGAAUUCCACGUGUAGCAGUGAAAUGCGUAGAGAUGUGGAGGAAUACCGAUGGCGAAGGCAGCCCCCUGGGCCAAUACUGACGCUCAUGCACGAAAGCGUGGGGAGCAAACAGGAUUAGAUACCCCCGUAGUCCAUGUCUCUUAUAC
rnacentral:rRNA from 1 species